rnacentral:snRNA from 1 species
AGCUUUGCACAGCGGCAGUAUCGUAGUCAAUGAGGUUUAUCUGAGGCGCGAUUAUUGCUAAUAGAAGAGAUGUGACAGACGGCAGGAUGUGGGAGGACAGAGAGGACAGAGGGAGCUCUCCAUCUUGGAAAUUUUCUGAAAGAGUCCACUC